AUUGAACGCUGGCGGCAUGCUUUACACAUGCAAGUCGAACGGCAGCGCGGGCUUCGGCCUGGCGGCGAGUGGCGAACGGGUGGGUAAUACAUCGGAACGUGCCCAGUAGUGGGGGAUAGCUCGGCGAAAGCCGGAUUAAUACCGCAUACGACCUGAGGGUGAAAGCGGGGGAUCUUCGGACCUCGCGCUAUUGGAGCGGCCGAUGGCAGAUUAGCUAGUUGGUGGGGUAAAGGCCUACCAAGGCGACGAUCUGUAGCUGGUCUGAGAGGACGACCAGCCACACUGGGACUGAGACACGGCCCAGACUCCUACGGGAGGCAGCAGUGGGGAAUUUUGGACAAUGGGCGAAAGCCUGAUCCAGCAAUGCCGCGUGUGUGAUGAGGGCCUUCGGGUUGUAAAGCACUUUUGGCGGGAACGAAAAGGACUGUGCCAAUACCACGGUUCGAUGACGGUACCCGCAGAAUAAGCACCGGCUAACUACGUG
rnacentral:rRNA from 1 species